rnacentral:rRNA from 1 species
AAGAGACAGCAGCAGCCGCGGUAAUACGAGGGGAGCUAGCGUUGUUCGGAAUUACUGGGCGUAAAGCGCGCGUAGGCGGCUUUUUAAGUCAGAGGUGAAAGCCCGGGGCUCAACCCCGGAAUUGCCUUUGAAUCUGGAAAGCUAGAAUCUUGGAGAGGUCAGUGGAAUUCCGAGUGUAGAGGUGAAAUUCGUAGAUAUUCGGAAGAACACCAGUGGCGAAGGCGACUGACUGGACAAGUAUUGACGCUGAGGUGCGAAAGCGUGGGGAGCAAACAGGAUUAGAGACCCCUGUAGUCCCUGUCUCUUAUAC